UACGUAGGAGGCAAGCGUUGUCCGGAUUUACUGGGCGUAAAGCGCGCGCAGGCGGCAGUCUAAGUCCUCUGUGAAAUCACCCGGCUCAACUGGGUGGCUGCGGAGGAGACUGGGCAGCUUGAGGGGCCUAGAGGCCGGUGGAACUCCCGGUGUAGUGGUGAAAUGCGUAGAGAUCGGGAAGAACACCAGUGGCGAAGGCGGCCGGCUGGGGGUGUCCUGACGCUGAGGCGCGAGAGCGUGGGGAGCAAACCGG
rnacentral:rRNA from 1 species